rnacentral:rRNA from 1 species
GACGAACGCUGGCGGCGUGCUUAACACAUGCAAGUCGAACGCUGAACCCGCUUCGGUGGGGGAUGAGUGGCGAACGGGUGAGUAACACGUGGGCAACCUGCCCCCGGCUCUGGGAUAACUCCAAGAAAUUGGGGCUAAUACCGGAUGUGACCGCUGGCCGCAUGGCCUGGUGGUGGAAAGGGUUUCCGGCUGGGGAUGGGCCCGCGGCCUAUCAGCUUGUUGGUGGGGUAGUGGCCUACCAAGGCGACGACGGGUAGCCGGCCUGAGAGGGUGACCGGCCACACUGGGACUGAGACACGGCCCAGACUCCUACGGGAGGCAGCAGUGGGGAAUAUUGCGCAAUGGGCGGAAGCCUGACGCAGCGACGCCGCGUGGGGGAUGACGGCCUUCGGGUUGUAAACCUCUUUCAGCAGGGACGAAGCGCAAGUGACGGUACCUGCAGAAGAAGCACCGGCCAACUACGUG